rnacentral:rRNA from 1 species
AACGAACGCUGGCGGCAUGCCUAACACAUGCAAGUCGAACGAGACCUUCGGGUCUAGUGGCGCACGGGUGCGUAACGCGUGGGAACCUUCCCUUAGGUUCGGAAUAACUCCCCGAAAGGGGUACUAAUACCGGAUAAUGUCUUCGGACCAAAGAUUUAUCGCCUUUGGAUGGGCCCGCGUUGGAUUAGCUAGUUGGUAGGGUAAAAGCCUACCAAGGCGACGAUCCAUAGCUGGUCUGAGAGGAUGAUCAGCCACACUGGGACUGAGACACGGCCCAGACUCCUACGGGAGGCAGCAGUGGGGAAUAUUGGACAAUGGGCGAAAGCCUGAUCCAGCAAUGCCGCGUGAGUGAUGAAGGCCUUAGGGUUGUAAAGCUCUUUUACCCGGGAUGAUAAUGACAGUACCGGGAGAAUAAGCUCCGGCUAACUCCGUG